rnacentral:rRNA from 1 species
GACGAACGCUGGCGGCGUGCUUAGCACAUGCAAGUCGAACGGGAUCCGGGCUUUCGGGUUUGGUGAGAGUGGCGAACGGGUGAGUAACACGUGAGUAACCUGCCCCCUUCUUUGGGAUAACGUCGGGAAAUCGGCGCUGAUACUGGAUAUUCUUGCUGCAUCGCAUGGUGUGGUUUGGAAAGGGUUUCUGGUGGGGGAUGGGCUCGCGGCCUAUCAGCUUGUCGGUGGGGUGAUUGCCUACCAAGGCUUUGACGGGUAGCCGGCCUGAGAGGGUGUCCGGCCACACUGGGACUGAGACACCGCCCUGACUCCUACGGGAGGCAGCAGUGGGGAAUAUUGGACAAUGGGCGCAAGCCUGAUGCAGCGACGCAGCGUGAGAGAUGACGGCCUUCGGGUGGUAAACCUCUUUCAGUAUGGAACAAGGAUCCUUCUUUUGGGGGGUUUGAGGGUACGUGCAGAAGAAGCGCCGGCUAACUACGUG